UACGUAGGGAGCAAGCGUUGUCCGGAAUCAUUGGGCGUAAAGCGCGCGUAGGCGGCCUCAUAAGUCCGUUGUGAAAGUCAAAGGCUCAACCUUUGAAAGCCGAUGGAUACUGUGAGGCUAGAGUCCGGAAGAGGCGAGUGGAAUUCCUGGUGUAGCGGUGGAAUGCGCAGAUAUCAGGAGGAACACCGGUGGCGAAGGCGGGUCUCUGGGCAGUUACUGACGCUGAGGAGCGAAAGCGUGGGGAGCGAACAGG
rnacentral:rRNA from 1 species